AUUGAACGCUGGCGGCAGGACUAACACAUGCAAGUCGAGCGGAGCGGCGGACGGGUGAGUAAUGCCUAGGAAUCUGCCUGGUAGUGGGGGGUAACGUCCGGCAACGGACGCUAAUACAGCAUACUAUCAGAUGAGCCUAGGUCGGAUUAGCGCGUUGGUGGGGUAAAGGCCUACCAAGGCGACGAUCCGUAACUGGUAUGAGAGGAUGAUUAGUCACAAGGGAAAUGAGACACGGGCCAGACUCCGACGGGAGGCAGCAGGGGGGAAUAUUGGACAAUGGGCGAAAGCCUGAUCCAGCCAUGCCGCGUGUGUGAAGAAGGUCUUCGGAGUGUAAAGCACUUUAAGUUGGGAGGCGUUACCAACAGAAUAAGCACCGGCUAACUUCGUGCCAGCAGCCGCGGUAAUAC
rnacentral:rRNA from 1 species